rnacentral:rRNA from 1 species
GACGAACGCUGGCGGCGUGCCUAAUACAUGCGAGUCGAGCGAAGUUUUUCUGGUGCUUGCACUAGAAAAACUUAGCGGCGAACGGGUGAGUAACACGUAAAGAACCUGCCUCAUAGACUGGGACAACUAUUGGAAACGAUAGCUAAUACCGGAUAACAGCAUUAACUGCAUGGUUGAUGUUUAAAAGUUGGUUUUGCUAACACUAUGAGAUGGCUUUGCGGUGCAUUAGCUAGUUGGUGGGGUAAAGGCCUACCAAGGCGACGAUGCAUAGCCGACCUGAGAGGGUGAUCGGCCACACUGGGACUGAGACACGGCCCAGACUCCUACGGGAGGCAGCAGUAGGGAAUCUUCCGCAAUGGGCGAAAGCCUGACGGAGCAACGCCGCGUGAGUGAAGAAGGAUUUCGGUUCGUAAAGCUCUGUUGUUAGGGAAGAAUGAUUGUGUAGUAACUAUACACAGUAGAGGCGGUACCUAACCAGAAAGCCACGGCUAACUACGUG